UAAAGCGCCAAGUUGAUUAAUGCAACAUUAAGUGACAUUUUACUACAUCAUUUUGAAGUGAGAGAUUUUCAUUUUGAAAGAUGCGUAGAUUUAAGAUAGGAAUUGUAAUUAUUGUAAACAAUUACACAGAUUUGCUUUGUUUUCGGUGAGUUGUCAAUAGAUCAAAAAAUCCGAGAAGGAAAUCGCAAGCCAGAAAAAGAUAUCCGUUUGAUUGGCGGGAAAUCGGCGCUGGAGGGUCGAGUUGAGAUUCGGUAUAACAGUACAUGGGGUACUGUAUGUGACGAUGGAUUUAAUAGAAAAGCCGCUAAAGUUGUCUGUCAUAUGCUUGGUUAUCGAAGAAAUGGUGCAAGAUCCUACACUCGGGCUGCUUAUGGUGAAGGUAAUGGGCAAAUUUGGCUGGAUGGGUUACAGUGCCGUGGAAAAGAAACUUCUUUGAAAGACUGUAAUCACUUACCUUGGGGACGUAACAAUUGUGGACACAAAGAGGAUGCAGGCGUAAAAUGCAAAAAAAAAAAAGAAAGUCGAAAGGAAAGGAAUGCUCACACUGGAGCUUGACUUGGUUGUCGAGGAGAAGGAAAGACACACAAUAUUUUACAGAAACAAGAUUUACCUUAAAAUUGCUAUCAA
rnacentral:misc_RNA from 1 species